ACACUAAGCUCCACGGAGCUUCCCUGCGAGUAGACUGGAGUUUUCUUACCUUUCCUUUCCUGGAGAAUGAAGAACGUUUUAGUAAGCCAGAGAGUUCAUCUCAGACAUGACGAUUCUAUCGCCUGAUGGAGCUCAGAGGCCACAAGUUAGGAGCAGUGUCCUCGAGCUGGACCUGAAUCAAUGGGUCAUGAAAUCAUCACCAUCAUCAUCAUCAUCACCACCACCACCAUCAUCAUCACCACCACCACCAUCAUCAUCAUCACCAUCAUCAUCAUCAUCAUCACCACCAUCACCACCACCACCAUCAUCAUUAUCAUCAUCACCAUCAUCAUCAUCACCACCACCAUCACCACCAUCAUCAUCAUCAUCAUCACCAUCAUCAUCAUCAUUGGCAGCGGUGGCAGCGGUAGCAGCAGCAGCAAGAUUUUGUAUUGGGAGGGUCCUUCCACAUGCUACAGGGGACAGAAGGUCAUCAGAUGUUGGCCUAGGGAUUAUAGCAUGAAGUGUUCCUCUUCUCGUAGGAUUUUAAACCUUUCGAGGAUUAAAACUGUCAUUCUAAUAGCUUGUUUCAGACUUACCCAUCAUCUACAACAUGCGGAAAAGCAGACUUAUAGAAGUCACCUAACUAAAGCCCAAUGUGAUGACCAGGGAAGUUGUUUUGAAGUAGGGCAGAUACUUUUUGAGACAUUAAAGAAAGGCACAAACUUGUUUCUAUUACACAUACAUUCUUGGAGCCUUUAGUUUGAACCUGGAACUCUGUUAGAGUCUGUGGGAACAACAUAGGCAGAAGACAUAGUCCUUACCUCCAGGAAGCUUCUUGGGCAAAGAACCAGUGUUCAGAUAUGGGCUUCAUCAACUUAAUGAAGACAGUUAACAUUUACCUUUAUUGUAGUGCAAAACAAAUGUAAUAAAAACAUAGGAUAUAGGGUUCGAGUGAAGGAGAAAAAUCACGUGAUUGGGAGACAAUGGAAAUCCUCCCAGAUGUCAGACACCCUUGGUGUUGGAGCUGGAGAAAAGCUGCUUGGGCAAUUCCCUGGCCCUGUUUGUCUCUGCCUGCAGCACUCUGGCCUCCUCUGAGUCAGUCAGCUCUUAUCUGACUGCUUAUCCAUUCCAUGAUCUAGCUCACCAGGCUGCAGAUUCCAUGAAGGAUGCUGUAUAUCCCUCUCUGAUUUCUCCCCCAUUAAAUAUCCUACAUAGAGACCAUUGCCCAGUACAGUACACAUUGUCAAUAAAAAGUCUUUAUGGCUGGACAAA
rnacentral:lncRNA from 1 species